rnacentral:rRNA from 1 species
UUUAUGGAGAGUUUGAUCCUGGCUCAGAGUGAACGCUGGCGGCGUGCUUAACACAUGCAAGUCGAACGGAACCUUCGGGUUUAGUGGCGCACGGGUGAGUAAUGUAUAGCUAACAUGCCCUUUAGAGGGGGAUAACAGUUGGAAACGACUGCUAAUACCCCAUACUCCUUCUUACUU